CCCCCGCCCCUAUUAUCCGACCCUACCCGGCCGCCCGCUGUAGGCCUCAAGAGAUUGGUACAAAAUGUCCGAUUGGGAAACAUUUGACCGUACACCUGUCACCAUGCAUUUAGAUACACGUAUAAACUGAUCUGGUCAUGCAUACACUGAAGUUGACUGAAGUUUUAUCUUUAUGCAAACAUAUAAAGCCAGAAGGUAUGUUUACAUAUAUAGUCAGAAAGAAAUGUGACUAUUUGUCACUUAUAGUGUAACCAUAGAGUUCUAGAUAAGUUUUGCCAUUAAACGAUAUAUAUAUAUAGUUAUGUGACUAAACUCGGGUCCGGGUAGUCCCGUGGGUACCCGGGUCCUACUCAGUACCCAGCCGACCCGAGUACCCGAGUUACCCGUCCCAGCCCUAAUUUCCUGAGUACUUUGUGUUGUAACUGGUCAAGAAUUCUUACCCAAUCUUGUUCCCUCUGUUUGGUUCCUUGUGUUGUCUUGACACAUUUGCCAGUGGUAUCCACUUGUGUAUGCAUUGAGCAGCCUCUACAGAUGUCAGCCAUUGCUGGUAAAUCUGAAACAGUACAUUCUCAUGUUCCAAUUUCUUUAGAAAUAUUCAUUGCAUUUAAUUACUUUUCUUAAUUUUUUCAAUGGUGUAACUCCAUGUCAGUGGUGUCAUUAACUCACUCUGUAUUCUUAAGUGAUAAUGCUUAUCAACCAGUUAACAUUUAUAGAGAGUAUUAUAUGAGCAUGUGUAUCAUACUGAUAUUUAAUGUGUAUUCCAUCAUUUCCGUCAGUUGUAGUGUAAUGUCAUUCUAACCUUAUUUCGUAAGGAAGUAAACAAUGAUGUCCGAAUGAUGUAAACCAUAUUCUGGUGCAUGGGAAGUAAUAUUUGCCCUUGUGCACAUGCAAAUUUUAUGAAUUCUGUUAUUUCUAACCCUUUGGGUUAUAAAGAGUGGUAUGUUUCUGUUUGCUCAUGAUUAGUUUCAGGAGUCUGUACUUACCAGAGUUUUGCAGCAAAUAUGAUGCUAUGUGUGUCCUGAAUUCAUCUGUGUCAAAUUGGGUGGACAUUUUCUUCCCAUCAAGAAGGAAGUCAACAAACUGAAAUUUCAAGUUAUCAGUAAGGGUAAACUAGCGUUUAUCAGUUUGAAUAUUACUAACAAAAAUUAUGCAUUGCCAUUUCUCUAUAUUGAACAGCUUGAAAAAAGUUAAUAUCUGUUACUAAGGUCAUUUAGCAGUAAUUAGCUGUCAAGUAUGUGUCCUACCUUCAUCACAAAUAUUCCACAGCUUGUGGAAUCUUGUUGCAAUUGGUGAUUUGCUGUUAUUAGCUUCCAUCGUUUCUUUAAUAUUUCCUUGUCGAGGAGGCCCUUUUCACUUCUCACUUGGAGUAUUCUCCUCCAAGCUGACAAAAUUGCUUCUUUACUUUUAUAAGACGUGUCUUCACCCAAAGGAUUUAAGUAUAAAAUCUCAUUUCUUUGUGGGAACACCACAAACAUGUGCCAGUGCUUUCCUGUGACAUAUGGAGCAAGGAUCAUUUCUUUCAGAAGCAGAUCCACCUGUUCAAGAAAUAAAUUCAGUCUUUUAAACAUUAUUCUUUGCUAUGACCAUCUUUUUUACUUAUAUAUAUAUUCAAUGUAUUGAUGAAUGAGCAGGAAGAUGUGUUCUUUCUGAAGUCAGUUUUGCUAAGUCAGUUAUACACUCUUUAAAUAGCAAGUCAACUGUAAUCCCCCGCAGGUGUAGAUAAUGUUAGAUGUACAGAUAUAACAGGCGUAUAUGUCACAUGUACAUAAGACUUCUACAUUAAAUCUUGCUUCACAUGUCCCUUGGAGGGAGUAGAAUGUUUCACUGUUGUUAGAGGAAAGGAUUUGUCAUGAAUUGUGAUGCUCAUACUUGCUCUGAUUUAAGAACCAUUACAAACUUUUGACAAUGAUUGUAUUCCUUACAUUCCUGAAUAAUGGUGGUUGUCCAUGAUUAAGAAUAACGUGUGUGGCAACAAGGCAAUCCAUCAGGUAUACAUCAUCUCGAUCUCGACAUUUAGCCCCGCAGUAUGCAUUGAGUACCUUUAAAAUUAGAAAGCAAUGCAUUCAAACUAUAAUACAUGUGUUGCAUUCACAUAAUUUAUUACUGGAUUGUCUGUUCCAGAUGUGAUUAUUUACGGACCACUGUUAUAAACUGAGUGCAGCAUUGAAACAAGAAACAACAAUUUUUGCUUUCAUGCUUUCUGAUAUUUUGAUGUAAUUGAAUGGUUAAUGUUGCAUUGAACACUGGUUCAGCUAUGUUAUCAUGGAAAUGAUGUAAUUGCUUUUCCUGUCAGUAAAGCCCAAACUAAUAUUCUUCCAAGAAAGCCAUGUCUUAAGGGUCAUGACAGACUAAGCAUAAUAAUUUCGGGGAAGCUGCAACUUGGUAUCAGUGACAUGAACAUCAGAAUUACCAAAACAAAAAAGAUAUCAAUAGAUGUAUCAUAUGCCAAAUAAUUAGUGCCUCAUCAGAUUUGAAAAUAAUUGGUUAUUAUGAACGUACCUCAUCUGUAACUUCAUGCCCUGGUUUCAGUGCUCCAAAGCUUCUUCCCGUCAGUUUAUGUCCAUCUACUACAGCCAUCACAGCAUUAGUGUUUGAGUGAAACCUCCAUACAGACCCAUAAUCCAAAGGUAUCGGCAGCUGAAACGCAAGUGAACGAUAGCUGUCACUUCUGUAAUGUUAAAACUUCAAACUCGUUGGUGGAAGAGUAGACUUGGUUUUGGGGACAGGCUUGCUGAGGACUAGGGGGUUAUUUCCCACCUACUCAAUGUUGCCCACAUUCAUAUGUGGUCGUCCAUGGCAACGUAAUGAAUUCGGUGGUCACGUUCAGUUACUGUGCAUUUUUCUCAAAUCAAUCACUGGGUUGUGAGGUCAACAUUAAGUUGUGUACAGGACACCAUGAUAUAGCUAGCUGGAUUCAAAGUGUGUAUUCAAAACAUCAAAAGUCAGUCCAACAUUUGAUUACAUCUACCGGUACAUAUUCUGUUGUAUUCGUAGCUCAUUGACUUACUGGUUCACUCUGUCUCCUGUUGAUCUGAAGUGUCCCCUCCCCUUGAUUCUGUAAUACAGGAAUAGUAUGUUUACAAUAAGUUAAUAUUGAAACUUAAUGAGAGCAACUGUACAAACAAGCAGGGUAUUAUGGUACAGAUACGGCACAUACGUUUUUGGUUGUGUGGUCAUCUGUUGUUUGCUUUACAACUGUUUCUUUCCUCUUUCUCCCCACAAAUUUUAACUCUGGCAAGUCAUCAGAAACAUCAUCCUGCUCCUGCAAUUGGUAACAUAACAGGAAUUUUCAGUAUGCUACUUUUCCUCACAAAGUCCCAAACAAAACUCUUCAUUUGGUUCCAAUUAAUACAUUUUCAGUGACAGAAUUUCUUCUAUAAAGAAUUUUAUAGACAUUCCAAAUAUGUGCACAUAACAUACCUCUGUGGAUGUGUUCUGCUCUGAUUCUGUCAGCAGGUCUAUUACAGUCAGUUUCUUCCCUUCCUCAAAUGUUGCUGUUGAAGUUGCCUAGGAUCAGAGAAUGAAGGUUUCAUCUUUACUUUCAUGGGACUGGUUGGCCUCUGUUACUGUUUCCUGGCUGCUGCACCUCAUCAGUAGAUCCCUCAACUCCAACAACAACCUCACACUCGUUUGUUUCCUUUGGGCAUUGCCAGUGUCAUUUGCAGGCGCCUUCAAUGUUGUGUCACUUUGCUCUGCACCAGUCAUGUCAACAGCUGAUGGAGAAUCUUCUGAAGAGACUUUUGGAAAUUUGACAUUUAUACCUGUUGGCAGAGAUUUCCUACAGUCUUUGCUGACAUGGAACAUUUGGAUGUCUCUGUAUUGCUUGGGAAGGGCAUCCCAAGGUAGUGUAUUGUGAUAUAAUGUUGCCAGAAUAUGCUUACAUGGAAAGAAAUAUCUUCUAAAGUCUUGGCAAGAACAAAGAUCUUUGUUUUCCCUAUUUAAAACAACAUUGUAAUUGUUCACUUGGUAAGCAGAUUCGCCUUUAUGUAUAGACUGAAUCUGUGUCACCUCAUUUAAUCGCUUUCUGCAGUGGUCAAAGCAUGUCAACCCUCUCCCAUUCAAGAACCCUGGUACAGAACUCUUCAAUGUCAUCUUCAUUCUGUCAUUCUUUUCAUAGUAACUGAAAUGAAAUUGUUUAUUUGUAGAAUAUUUCUCAAGACUGUGUAUGUGAUAAUUAGCAGUUAACCUGUUUUUAGAUUUAACUUAAUUGUGUCAUUUGUGCAUGCAGUAAUUUUGUUUUUGUAUUUAUUAAUAAUCUAAGUUUAAGUGCAUGUAGCCCAUGCUUAUGUUUUGUUGAAUAUAUUUAGUUUAUACACAUCCAUCCACACUGCCUUACCUCAGGUAACAAUAUAUGGGUUGUUCUUUGUUGUUGUCAUUUUGCCUAUAUCCCAAUAUGCUUGCACUCUUAUCAAAACAAAUUUGCACUUCUAUGAGGAUGUAAUAUGCAUCGAUGAGUGUGAAAUACCUUACUUAAAAUGGACUAUCCCAUGGUUAGACAUUGAUAAAGAACAAAUAUUAAUAUAGUGUGACUCAUAAAAAAUAUGUUGAUUCAUCCAUUACUGUUUUUACAAUAUUUAGCUGGUUUUUAAUGUAAAAUUAGAUCCAUCAACAAUGUCCUGGCUAAUACAAGAAGUGCAUUUCGGAUCAAAUAAAGGUGUAUUACUCCAUCUCCCACAAUCGAUUUGUAAACAAAGACAAGAUGUUCUAAACAAUAGCAAUUAUGUGUAUAUCAUGUACACAUGUUUUGUUUAAGUAUGUAAAUAUGUUUCCAGUGUAGUGUUAUCAUCUAUGACUUUAUGAAAUCUUGCCUUACCAGAAAUUGCCCUAUCAGAAUUCCUUUUUUGAAUAACAUGAUCUUCAAGGUGUGGUCUGGUUACCAAUUUAAUCCAAUCAACUGAUGUAGAUAACAUCCAAAUUUUGAGGUUACUAGCUAUACUGUAUCAACAUUAGCCACUUCUAAUGUAUAUUGGUAAAGUAAAGUUAUUCUACAAAGACUUCUGUUAUAAACAAAAUGUGACAAUUUUCUUGUGAUACCCAGACGUUUUCCUCCUAUUUACUGUAAACUCCAUAUCUUAUAUACAUUGGAGUGAAUGGUUUAAUGAUAAAUAAAUGAUAAAUUCAGAUUUUCCACUAUAAUAGGCUAUUCGUAACCGCAUAACUCUCAUCCAUAUGGGAAUAUUUUUGUAUUAAUUAUGAUACCGAGAUCCUUGUAUGCAUUUACAUUUUCUAAACAUUCAUAAUAUUUCUUUUUGCCUCAAAAAAUAAGUAUUAACACUUGGCCACAAUUAUCUUCAGUUUCUAAACGUUACAGCGAAUCCAGCAAGUAAUUUCUGUAGGUCUUUCUUGUAGAGUGUUAGUAAUAUGCUUACAUCAGCAUAUAUCAAUCCACAACGAACAAAUAGUGUAGGCAUACUGGGAUGUAGGCAUACUGGGAACAAACCUGAUAUCUAAAACCUACUGUUAUCUGUUAUCAAAUUAACUUAAGUAGUAGAUCUAGAUUACCUCUGUUGUCUGCUCUUGUGGUGUUUCAUUAAAAGUUGAAUCAGCCCUGUUAUGCUCAUGUCUGCAGUAUGUUUCUGCUCAUUCUUAAACAGAGAAUGGAGCCUCUCCACUCCAUUAGUAGUUGUCAGUCCCACAUGCUGGUUGAAAGGUCUGAAGGCCAUAGCCCAUGGCUGGAAUUGUAAUAUUAGCGUUAAAUAUCACACACAUUCACAGUUUAUAUUUAUUUUAUCUAUUUGUGUACAAAAGAAUUCAACUUUUAUUGUACAAGAUGUUAAUAAAACAAAUAAUAACA
rnacentral:lncRNA from 1 species